AUUCAAGAGCACAUAACAUAGCCCCAGAAAGAAAGGAUCGGUGUAUACAAAUCAACGUGAACAUCAGCUCAAAAUUCAAUUUUACCGUGGAAAUAAAAAAAAUAGAAUUCCAUGCCUUCUGCUUUGUAAUUAUAAUUAUGUCGGCUAAAUUGGUAAAUUCAGGCUGCAGCUGCAGGUUGAGGUUGAAAACAUGAAAAACGACAUGGCUUUGGCAUCCCACCAAAUAAGGGAAGAUGUUAACUGCGCAGUUGAGACUCGGUUGGCCUUGUUCUGUUUCAUUUUCAUUCUCUUCAAUCAGGCGGUUAUUUCCACGCCCCCUUCCCUCGUUUCCUUCGCCUCUGUUUCUCCCCUUAUACUCUUGUUCAUUUCUGCCUGUUUCCCUCACUUUCGCUUUGCUUUCUCAGCUCUUUCUUACUCUGAGAAAGCACAAUGGCUUCUGCUUUCUCUGCCACCAAGUUCACUCAGCCUUUGCCUCUCAAUACCUCCACCUCCAGAUCUCACGGAAAGCAAUCUGUUUUCGAUCCUCUCAAAAGUUCCACUUCUUUCCUAGGAUCUACUCGCAAACUUCGCUUCACUUCUUUUCCCAAAUUGAAUCAACCCAAUUCCCACCGUCCAUCACUUGUUGUUGCCGUUUCUGAAGCCGUUAAGGAAAAGAAGCUCAAAUCAACCUCCAAUCUGUUUGGAGUGUUUGUUAGCAUGGAGGAACCGAGAAAGAGGACAAUUUUACCCCAUUAAGCUUAAUACAAAACACCUGCUGUGUGUGCUUUAAUUUCUCUUAUUUUAUGAUUAAAAGGACCAAAGUUUCAACAUUUAAUUUUUCAGUGUUUGUCUUCUUUUUGCAAAUGCAGUAACUAUACUUCCCUUGUCUUCACUAAUGUUUCUGGAUGGCUGUAAUUCUGUAAUAAGCUUUGAUAUGUGCCUAUGUACUACUUGACGUCUGAAUUCGAGAAACUCCGUUUAAGGUACUAUUUAAUGAUCCAAAGAGAUAACGAACUUUGUUUUUUCACUUAUUUACUUGUUUCUGUAUUUAGUUGAUCACAAAAGAAGAAGGCUUGGAGCUAUAUGAGGAUAUGGUGUUGGGCAGAGCCUUUGAGGACAUGUGUGCCCAGAUGUAUUACAGGGGAAAAAUGUUUGGUUUUGUUCAUCUCUAUAACGGUCAAGAGGCUGUGUCAACUGGGUUCAUCAAGCUUUUGAAGAAGGAGGAUUAUGUUGUUAGCACUUAUCGGGAUCACGUGCAUGCAUUGAGUAAGGGUGUCCCUGCUCGUGCUGUAAUGAGUGAGCUCUUUGGCAAGACCACCGGGUGUUGUCGAGGCCAAGGUGGAUCUAUGCACAUGUUUUCGAAAGAGCACAAUUUGCUUGGUGGUUUUGCGUUUAUUGGUGAGGGAAUUCCAGUAGCAACUGGUGCAGCUUUUACCUCUAAGUAUAAAAGGGAGGUUUUGAAGGAGGGAGAUAGCGAGGAUGUGACAUUGGCGUUUUUUGGAGAUGGAACUUGUAAUAAUGGACAAUUCUUUGAGUGUUUGAACCUGGCGGCAUUGUGGAAAUUGCCCAUUGUGUUUGUUGUGGAGAAUAACUUGUGGGCAAUUGGAAUGUCACACCUGAGGGCAACUUCAGAUCCAGAGAUUUGGAAGAAGGGUCCAGCAUUUGGAAUGCCAGGUGUUCAUGUUGAUGGAAUGGAUGUUUUGAAAGUUAGGGAGGUGGCCAAGGCGGCAAUUGGAAGGGCUAGGAGGGGAGAAGGACCAACAUUGGUGGAAUGUGAGACUUACAGGUUUAGAGGACACUCAUUAGCUGAUCCGGAUGAGCUUCGUGACCCUGGUAAGCAUCAAAAUUAGUUCUUUUAAAUUCAGUAUCUACUUUUCUUCUUGUUUAUUGAUUAACCUGUUGGAAUUUCAUUCUUUUUGUUUUGUGAUUUAGCUUUUACCUGUGCAACUUUAGCUGAUGGUAUACUUUAAUGGCAGCCCCAGCAUGCCCAUGGCCCCUCUUAUUGUCCUUGUUGACAUCCACCAUUUUGUAUAAAAUUUUGGGUUCACUUUCGUUUGAAGUUUCAUUUGACACAUUUGAUUGAGAUGCACCUAUAUAAUUGAAAAGGUGAAUUGGUUUUAUUUUUCCAAUAGAUAGGUCUCUCGAGUCUUAUUUGAGUCGAAUUUUGACAAUUUAAAGUUCUGUUUGUUUCAUAGAAAAUAAUUUAUAUAUGGAAAAUGUUUUUCCUAGAAAUUGUAUUCUAUAGAAAUUGUUGUUUAAGAAAAUAUUUUCAAUAAAAAUAUUUGGUUGCAAUGUUAAAUUAAUGGUGUGUAUUUAUGUCAUGCAUGUACAAGUGUUUUUAUAUUUUAAUAAAAUUAUGAAAAUUCAGAAUAUGACUUCUUCUUUUAAAAAGAAGAAUUUAUUUUCCCUAAAAAUAGCUUAGUUUUCCCUUCAAGUAGGAAAAUAUUUUUUGUUGGCUAAUUUCCUAAAUGCCCCAAAUGCUAGAAAAUGUGAAAAAUGUUUUUUAGAAAAAUAUUUUCUACAAAACAUUAUAAUUUGGUUAGAGUACACUUAAAUUUCCAGAAUCCUGAUGGGAGUUUAAGCAUUAACUUUUUGUCAUAUGCUCAUCCUUUUUCCCUCUCUGUUAUUUCCCCUUUUGUAGGGUCCCCCCCUUUUCUUGGGUGCUGGGUGCUUAGGAUGCACUCAAAACAUUCCCUUAUUUAUGUAUCAUGGGUUUAGGAUAGACUCCACCAGAAUUCUUGAAAUAUCAGCGGCAAUUCAUUAGAAUGAUGAUGCCUUUUAUCAGAAUUCAUUUACUGAUGUUUUUAAAACUCUGAAGACACUUUUUAUCCUGCACAAAAUAUGAUAAUAUGACCACAAGUUACCAUUAGAAUAUAUAACCUCACUCUGGUGAUUAGCCUCUGAAUAUUUUGCAAAUGUAGUGGCCAGAGACACCAUAUAACCUCACAAAAAUCUUCAUUUUAGCAUUUAAUAUGUUAAAUUAGUUGAUAGAGUAUCAUUAAAAUGGUUGAUCAAUGUAUAGGAGCCCUUAUGUUUCUGUUCUCUAAUUUGUAUUUAGUCAUUAUCCAGUAAGUUCAUAAUGUUUCCCCCUUGGCAGCUGAGAAGGCUCACUAUGCUGCUAGGGAUCCCAUCACAUUCUUGAAGAAGUACAUCAUUGAGAACGAACUAGCCAGUGAAGCAGAAUUGAAGGCCAUUGAGAAGAAGAUAGAUGAAGUGGUUGAGGAUGCUGUUGAAUUUGCAGAUGAGAGUCCUCUUCCACCUCGCAGCCAGCUACU
rnacentral:misc_RNA from 1 species